rnacentral:rRNA from 1 species
AGAGUUUGAUCCUGGCUCAGGAUGAACGCUGGCGGCGUGCUUAACACAUGCAAGUCGAACGGGAAUGCCACGCUGAUGCGAUUUCGGUCAAAUCAUGUGGCAUUCGAGUGGCGGACGGGUGAGUAACGCGUGGGUAACCUGCCUUACACAGGGGGAUAACACCUGGAAACAGGUGCUAAUACCGCAUAAGCGCACAGGGCCGCAUGGCCCGGUGUGAAAAACUCCGGUGGUGUAAGAUGGACCCGCGUCUGAUUAGCUUGUUGGCGGGGUAGGGGCCCACCAAGGCGACGAUCAGUAGCCGGCCUGAGAGGGUGGACGGCCACAUUGGGACUGAGACACGGCCCAAACUCCUACGGGAGGCAGCAGUGGGGGAUAUUGGACAAUGGGGGAAACCCUGAUCCAGCGACGCCGCGUGAGUGAAGAAGUAUUUCGGUAUGUAAAGCUCUGUCAGCAGGGAAGAAAGAAAUGACGGUACCUGACCAAGAAGCCCCGGCUAACUACGUGCCAGCAGCCGCGGUAAUACGUAGGGGGCAAGCGUUAUCCGGAAUUACUGGGUGUAAAGGGAGCGUAGACGGUGAUGCAAGUCUGAAGUGAAAGGCGGGGGCUCAACCCCCGGACUGCUUUGGAAACUGUAUGACUGGAGUGCAGGAGAGGUAAGUGGAAUUCCUAGUGUAGCGGUGAAAUGCGUAGAUAUUAGGAGGAACACCAGUGGCGAAGGCGGCUUACUGGACAGUAACUGACGUUGAGGCUCGAAAGCGUGGGGAGCAAACAAGAUUAGAUACCCUGGUAGUCCACGCCGUAAACG